CGGCGGACGGGUGAGUAACACGUGGAUAACCUACCUAUAAGACUGGGAUAACUUCGGGAAACCGGAGCUAAUACCGGAUAAUAUAUUGAACCGCAUGGUUCAAUAGUGAAAGACGGUUUUGCUGUCACUUAUAGGUGGAUCCGCGCCGCAUUAGCUAGUUGGUAAGGUAACGGCUUACCAAGGCAACGAUGCGUAGCCGACCUGAGAGGGUGAUCGGCCACACUGGAACUGAGACACGGUCCAGACUCCUACGGGAGGCAGCAGCG
rnacentral:rRNA from 1 species